AUUGAACGCUGACGGCAGGCCUAACACAUGCAAGUCGCGCGAGCGGCGGACGGGUGAGUAAUGUCUGGGGAACUGCCUGAUAGAGGGGGAUAACUACUGGAAACGGUAGCUAAUACCCCAUACCAUCAGAUGUGCCCAGAUGGGAUUAGCUAUUAGGUGGGGUAAUGGCUCACCUAGGCGACGAUCCCUAGCUGGUCUGAGAGGAUGAGCAGACACACUGGAACUGAGACACGGGCCAGACUCCUACGAGAGGCAGCAGUGGGGAAUAUUGCACAAUGGGCGCAAGCCUGAUGCAGCCAUGCCGCGUGUGUGAAGAAGGCCUUAGGGUUGUAAAGCACUUUCAGCGGGGAGGCGUUACCCGCAGAAGAAGCACCGGCUAACUCCGUGCCAGCAGCCGCGGUAAUUC
rnacentral:rRNA from 1 species